GGGGUGCUCAAGACACCAGUGUAUUCAUUCACCAUACCUUCCCUUGACUGUGGCUGAUCUAUUGAACAAAAAAAGGCAUACAAUGCAAAUUAAAAACACAAUGGCAUCACAAAAAUAGCAAUGCGGAAUCACAGGUGGAUCUAGGUGGAUCCUAGUGGUCCAUUGGGGUCAUGGCCCUCCUCCCAAAGGUUUUAAUUUUAUAGUGAGGGUAUCAUAUUUUGUAUACUUCAAAUUUGUAUUAAACUGCAUUGACAGACGAGGCAUACAUAUUCAUUUGACAUUUCAGUUUCACCUCUUAUUGUGUUGUUUAAUUUUGAUUUAAAUUAUUGUGCUGAAUUGCUGCAUUGGCUGUUUUAAUAGUGUAUUUUGAUGAAUGUACUUGAAUCAAAAUUGGUGUCAUUUGUUUCAUUUUGCUAGUUACUUGUUUGGUUGUUUUGAGUGAUUUGUGGAAUGUGGAAAUCAUUCAGUUACCUAUGACUUGACUAGUUAUGCUAUCCUGAAUUAUGUAGACUGGUGAACUGUGCAUGUAUCAGUUCAAGAUGUUCCAUAUCUAAUGAUUUUCAAUGUAGUUACCUACAUAAUAGACCAUAUUAACACGCUCAAUGUUUAAUGUU